AGGGGGCUGCUACACAUGCAGUCGAGCGGUAGCACAGAGAGCUUGCUCUCGGGUGACGAGCGGCGGACGGGUGAGUAAUGUCUGGGAAACUGCCUGAUGGAGGGGGAUAACUACUGGAAACGGUAGCUAAUACCGCAUAACGUCGCAAGACCAAAGUGGGGGACCUUCGGGCCUCAUGCCAUCAGAUGUGCCCAGAUGGGAUUAGCUAGUAGGUGGGGUAACGGCUCACCUAGGCGACGAUCCCUAGCUGGUCUGAGAGGAUGACCAGCCACACUGGAACUGAGACACGGUCCAGACUCCUACGGGAGGCAGCAGUGGGGAAUAUUGCACAAUGGGCGCAAGCCUGAUGCAGCCAUGCCGCGUGUGUGAAGAAGGCCUUCGGGUUGUAAAGCACUUUCAGCGGGGAGGAAGGCGUUAAGGUUAAUAACCUUGUCGAUUGACGUUACCCGCAGAAGAAGCACCGGCUAACUCCGUGCCAGCAGCCGCGGUAAUACGGAGGGUGCAAGCGUUAAUCGGAAUUACUGGGCGUAAAGCGCACGCAGGCGGUCUGUCAAGUCGGAUGUGAAAUCCCCGGGCUCAACCUGGGAACUGCAUUCGAAACUGGCAGGCUAGAGUCUUGUAGAGGGGGGUAGAAUUCCAGGUGUAGCGGUGAAAUGCGUAGAGAUCUGGAGGAUACCGGUGGCGAAGGCGGCCCCCUGGACAAAGACUGACGCUCAGUGCGAAAGCGGUGGGGAGCAAACAGGAUUAGAUACCCUGGUAGUCCACGCCGUAAACGAUGUCGAUUUGGAGGUUGUGCCCUUGGAGGCGUGGCUUUCGGAGCUAACGCGUUAAAUCGACCGCCUGGGGGAGUACGCCGCAAGGUUAAAACUCAAAUGAAUUGACGGGGGCCCGCACAAGCGGUGGAGCAUGUGUUUAUCGAUGCAACGCGAAGAACUACUUGUCUGACAUCACAGAACUUACAGAGAAUGGAUGUGCUCAGGAACUGUGAAACAGGUGCUGCAUGCCUGUCUCCAGCUCGUGUUGUUGAAAGUUGAGUAAGUUCG
rnacentral:rRNA from 1 species